rnacentral:rRNA from 1 species
AGUGAACGCUGGCGGUAGGCCUAACACAUGCAAGUCGAACGGCAGCACAGUAAGAGCUUGCUCUUACGGGAGGCGAGUGGCGGACGGGUGAGGAAUACAUCGGAAUCUACUUUUUCGUGGGGGAUAACGUAGGGAAACUUACGCUAAUACCGCAUACGACCUACGGGUGAAAGCAGGGGAUCUUCGGACCUUGCGCGAUUGAAUGAGCCGAUGUCGGAUUAGCUAGUUGGCGGGGUAAAGGCCCACCAAGGCGACGAUCCGUAGCUGGUCUGAGAGGAUGAUCAGCCACACUGGAACUGAGACACGGUCCAGACUCCUACGGGAGGCAGCAGUGGGGAAUAUUGGACAAUGGGCGCAAGCCUGAUCCAGCCAUACCGCGUGGGUGAAGAAGGCCUUCGGGUUGUAAAGCCCUUUUGUUGGGAAAGAAAAGCAGCAGGUUAAUACCCCGCUGUUCUGACGGUACCCAAAGAAUAAGCACCGGCUAACUUCGUG